GACGAACGCUGGCGGCGUGCUUAACACAUGCAAGUCGAACGGAAAGGCCCUGCUUUUGUGGGGUGCUCGAGUGGCGAACGGGUGAGUAAAACGUGAGUAACCUGCCCUUGACUUUGGGAUAACUUCAGGAAACUGGGGCUAAUACCGGAUAGGAGCUCCUGCUGCAUGGUGGGGGUUGGAAAGUUUCGGCGGUUGGGGAUGGACUCGCGGCUUAUCAGCUUGUUGGUGGGGUAGUGGCUUACCAAGGCUUUGACGGGUAGCCGGCCUGAGAGGGUGACCGGCCACAUUGGGACUGAGAUACGGACCAGACUCCUACGGGAGGCAGCAGUGGGGAAUAUUGCACAAUGGGCGGAAGCCUGAUGCAGCAACGCCGCGUGCGGGAUGACGGCCUUCGGGUUGUAAACCGCUUUCGCCUGUGACGAAGCGUGAGUGACGGUAAUGGGUAAAGAAGCACCGGCUAACUACGUG
rnacentral:rRNA from 1 species